rnacentral:rRNA from 1 species
GACGAACUGCCCAAACGUUGUUCGGAUUCAUUGGGCGUAAAGGGUGCGUAGGCGGCGCGGUAAGUCGGGUGUGAAAUCUCGGGGCUUAACUCCGAAACUGCAUUCGAUACUGCCGUGCUUGAGGACUGGAGAGGAGACUGGAAUUUACGGUGUAGCGGUGAAAUGCGUAGAUAUCGUAAGGAAGACCAGUGGCGAAGGCGGGUCUCUGGACAGUUCCUGACGCUGAGGCACGAAGGUCAGGGGAGCAAACGGG